CUUUAACCACCAACAUUGGCCUUCUCAUUUGAGCACAAGAGUCAUAAAUAGCUGCAUUAAGCCAGAUUCUUUUUCUUGAAGACUGUGAUAUCAAACAUUGCCUAUCAAUAAUAAUUUCUGCUCUCUUUCAAGACGGUUUGUGGCCCUUUUUUUUAACAUCCUCAUCAUCAGCAUGUAGCCUGAGUCACUUUUAGCAUGUUCUCAAACAGAUGGUGGCAUUGAAGCAAAGCUUUACUUAAGUACAACCUCACAUAGCAAUCUGCAAGCUUUUAAGUUUUAUUCCCUUUCUCUUGAGUACUGUUAUGUGAAUGAAUCUUCGGAAGAGGCCAAGAAUUACACUGAGAGAGCAAGUAAAUGUAGCACCUACAGAUGGCGCCAUUUCUUAGCUUAUCCUCACUGGCGUUACUGUAAGUUUCCUUUCAACAAACAGGUUUCCUGGACUGAAAUUCAAAUGUUCAUGCUCUUGUGUAAACGAGUAUUUCCCUCCUUCAGGUCUCUUUGGACUUCAGCAGUCGGUUUCGUUAUGUUAAAUCACUUUUCAAUUGGUCAGCAAGGGCGUAGAGAGGGAGACUGGGCCAAAUACAGGGAUACUGUUACAUGUUAGCAGUGAUUUAAAGGUUUCUAACAAGUGUUCCUGUAGGUUUCAUCACUCUAAUUUCCAUUUCAAAGAGUCAAAGAAAAAGCAGUAGUAUGUCACCUUAAUGUUUCCUUGAGGUUUGGACCAGUGGGUAAGCUCAAAAAGCAAAAGGGAGUAGGUUGUGGAGCAGAGCUCCUGCUAGCACACAUUAAAGCGCAGUUCAGCUGAAUCACUGAGGCCGUCCUUUAGACAACAAAACCUCUGGCAUUCAGCCCAGCGCCAUGAAGGCUACAUGUUGAUAAAGGCAAGAAUAAACAGCACAAUUAGUUAUUACUCCAGCUAGCUUCAUUGACAAAUGUUUUGUAAUUGUUGCUAAGGAACAUGGUGUAGUUUCAGUCCUGGGUGGGAAAGUCCAAUUUAUUGGAUUUCAGAGUGACAUCAAGUUGCCUGGCCUGAGCAAAUGAAUAUUUAUACUCUGUACAGGAUGAACUUAUUUUUUCUCAUCAGUUUGUCCAAUUACCAUGGAAACUGUGUUUACAAGUCAAACCAGUCUCUAUGACAGCACCUAGGGGCCCCUUUUAGCUUCUAUUUUCAAUGUUUCCACACCUCAACUUGGCCCUUAUUCAGGGGUAGGACAGAGUAAAGCCUGAAACUGUGAAUGUUGGAUUAGCUAAAUGCACGCCCCAUUAGAUUUGACUUUAAAGGUCAGUUAGAGUUGAGCAACAAGGAUGGCAAUGUAGCUGUGCCUGCCACUUUGUGAGACAACAUCAAGCCCACUUUACUGAACAAAAUGCAGUUUGUGUUCAGUGAUAGCUAGUAAAGUUAGCAAACAAAACUCAAGCUGAACACUCAGGCAAUGUCUUCCACAUUAACUCGUUGUAACUCUGAAGCUAGCACUGAUUUUAAAAUUUGCCAUAACAAUAAAAGUUUAUUUUUUCAGAUGCUUUUAUUGCAUGCUCAUCCCUGCUGCAGAGGGAGACAGAGCUAAUACUUCGAUGUUUAUAUUUGAUCUGUGUCUCUGUCCAAGUCAUGACUCAUAUUUCAGUCAUGUGUCUGCUACUGCCCUUAAAAACAUUUUUUUUUUUUUGCCUGCCUGAUGAUUUCCAUCUGUUUUGCAGAAAAUCUUGGGUAGGGCAGUAAAGGGUAAAAUCACUUGGCCCUCGACUCAUGCCAGUGCGUGACUCAUUGAGACAUCACUGUGACUUCUGUGUCCUCAUACAGAAAAUCUACAAGGGCAGAGAUCUUUCAAAUAAACAAAGACAGAGCUCUCUUCUUUUUUGUUUUCUUUCCCUCCUCCUCACGUUAGAGAGUAGUAGCUUUAUUCUUGAUGGCUGUCUUGGGCAUACAGUUGCAGUAAAAAAACAACUCUUUUACUGAAGUUCCACACAAGACUUUGAAUCCUUUUUGUGAUUUUUUCUUGCCUACCUUUCAACCCAAAUCUCUGUGCUCAUGCCAACUGACAUUUGUGUUUUUCUGUCAUGAAGGAUUUGCUCUUUUAUUACCCGUUUUAACUUCAGGUGCUUUACAGAUGACGUGUACAGAGCAUGCAGGGCUGUGUCAUUCAUGCCAUCUGUCUUCUUCUCUUUCCAGGAACCUUGAUGUUUUUCUAUACAUGGCUCGUAUGCAGAAUUCCUCACAUUUUGAACAUAUGGAAAGAGCUGUAGGUGGUGGAGUAUAAAGCUGGUGCACAUCUAUAUUGCAAGUAAGACAGUGAGGUGUUUCAUAGUUUAACUUGUUGUAUAGUUUUUAAUUUUAAUCGUUCUAUUUUUCCUUUUUGUUGCUUUCUUUCAGGAGCUUAUUUUACUUCUCCCAGGCCUGUACUUCAUUUACCUUGCAGCUAAUUAUAUCCCAAUACAACAGAAACAAGUAUGUUAUUCCUGAGUUGAAAUCAUCCAGAAAAGUGCAUUAACAUUUGAAGAAUUUAUAACUGUUAUUAUAAUAAUAAAGAGAUGCAUUAGUAGGCUCAGAGUUACAGUUUAUGAGAACUAGUCUAAUCUGAACUUCUUGAUUUAUACUGUUGAUUGUUUUAUUUGGCCCAUAAUACUUCACUGUUUCUUAUACUCUCUGCAUCACAGACUUCUGGUAUAAAAUCUAAAGCAGCAAAGUAACUUGUAACAAAAUAUAGUAGAGCACAAACUGUGAUAAUGCAAUGAAUAGAGGGCUAUAGGUAUACGACAGUCCAAGAUUCAAAUACUCAGAUAAGUAAGAAAAUGUAUAUGGAUAGAUUUGACCACCAAUUUGCAGGUUAUGGUUUUACAAACAAUAAAGUACAAUAAGCUUGAAACAUGAUGCAUUCCCUCAAGUUUCACUGCAGAUUGAAGAUGCUAAUUUAAAACGUGAAGUAUAGGGGUAAUUUAUGGCCUUUUCCUUAAAUAGAGAUGAGAGAGAAGUAGGAAACUUAGCUGAGGAAGAGCAAUAAAAGACAGACCAAAUUAAACAACAAAAGUAGAAACUGUGUUACAUGCAGAACUGUGAUCAGCUGUUUUCACUGAAGUCAAAACGCAAAAGACCAAAAAGCUUCAUCAGAGGAUCAGUCAGUUAUUCUUCCUGGAGUUUUGAAGCAUUCAGUCAAAGUUUAUUCACUAAAAGUCAAGUUUAAUCACCACAUUUUUAAAAAGCUGUUUGUUGUCUCUGACAGACAGACCUGCCCUUUCCUGACCUCGUCUCUGCAUAUUGAUAUGUCCUCUCCGACGAUCGAAGACAUAACUUACUGCUGCUGUCACAGCCAAUAUCCUAAUUUGCUAUUACUCAGGGAUUACCACCCAAGAGAGGGAGAGAGUGGUAAGCCUGUACUUAGCCAGAGACUGACCUGAAGAGCUUUCUCUCCCCCGACUCCCUCUGUCCAUUUUUUACAAUCCAAUUUUGCAUGGAUUUGGUGAAACAUUAUGCAUUGGCUAAAGCAAUUUGUUAUGAUACCGUAGUUCCAAUCCUAGUUUUGUGCCAUAGACUGCUUGCAUUAACAUCUCAUGACACCGACUAAGGACUUAGAGGACUUAGGCCAAUCGGGCAUUAUGUAAGAAAUAGCACAGUGAAAACGACACAUGCACCAAAUUGAACGAUAGGUUCCCGCCAAGAAGAUCUCUUUAUCGGAUUGUCUCGAAAUGAAAGCAUCCCUGCAGUCAUUCACUUUCCCCCUACAGUUCCACCACGGGGUUGUGCUCCUAGUAUAGGCUGAAAGAUGCCUCUGAAGUUCCAUAAACACUGAUUGCAGCUCAAGCUUAUCAGGCAGGAAUUCUGUUUAUCUCCCUGCUCAGUGUGAAGGCUCCUCUUGGAAGUGUGUGACAGUCAGAUGCUUACACUUAACAUAGCCACGGUAAUAUGGGAUUAAGCUUUACGUGCUGCCCUGAAGACUUAGCAGCCAGGACACAGACAAGCGAGCGAGCGUUGGUCUUAUUAGUCAGCUUUGACGAAGACAGUGGGCUCUUGAGGAAGCUAAGUAUCCUGCCAAUAUGUAUGCAAAUCAGAAAAAACGUAUCCCCCCUUUGCACUGCAAAUCAUGUUUUCUGCCUUAAUUUUCACAUUAUAUACUUGAGUGUUAAGUUUAUCCUUCAUCAUGUGCCAUCUUGUUUAUAGUGCAAUGUAAUUCUGCGGCCGAGGUGAGUCACAAGGUUGUCAGCGGAGAACACGGCCAGCUCUGCAGAUAGAUCCAAACAGCGUCUGCAUGUGAGACAGGAUUACACCGUUACCAUGUGACUGGUCUGUCCUUAGACAGACCUCUAACAAAAGACAGGCUAAAUCCAUCCAGGACAACAACCUCUGCCCUGAACUCUUCAAAUGUAAACAAUCAGGAGGACUUCUGUGAGGAGAUGCCUCAAACGGGCUGUGAUGAUGGCAAAUCUUGACCUUGGUAUCAUAGUUCAAAGACCAUAGCAGGCUUACACUUCACUGACAACCUAGAGUGAAUUCUGACUUUGUCCUGAUAUGCAAACUACAAGUAUUAGAUUCUGGUUGGGUUGUAUUAUCAGAUAUGAUGAGAUUUUUAAUGCUCCAAAAUCAGCUUAUACUUUUUUUUUUUUUUUGGUCCAAAUAAGCUGAGGUAUCAUCCGUGUUAGCCUGAAACACCAACUUCAUUUUGUGAGAGAGCAACCUUGGAAAAUUUUGGGGGUAGACUUCUUGAAAAUUACUAGAAAAUGUUAGGAUGUCUGGAAGAGGGUCUUUGUCUGUUCUAGUCUGCAGGUUAUGAACGGGAAAAUCCAAGAAGCAGUAUGAAAGAGUCCAUUCAAACAUUUUAAUCCAAUUAAUUUGGUCAUGAGAUUAUAUUUAAGACUUUAAAUGAUCAUUUUACUGUUAUUGGUGUGAUUUCCCUAAACCACAGCUACCUCUAUUGAUGAUAGUCCUUGUGCUCUCCUUGAUUACAUCAGCAUGGUCUAUGUUUUGAACAGUGGUGAGCUACCUCACAUGUUAGCUAAGGGUUAAAAUCAAGCCGCAGCCUCUAGUUUUGCAAGAUGAAGUCAAAGCGGAAGUGCAAAAAAACUGCUAAUCUCAGAGUGUCUGCUGAAAGCUAGCUGCAGAGGCACUGGAAACCACAUACACACUCAUUUAAAAGACCUCUGCAAAAAGGACCACAGCCUCUAUAUGCAGGGGGUCAAACUUCGAGGCACCUUAUAACUUCACCUUCUACACUCAAAAUGGUUUCUGAACACUGCUACAUGACUUCAAAUGAAGAACUGAAAUUUAGCAUGUACAGUUCUUGACAUGACUGCAUCAGAACGGGGACUUUUUAAGCAGGCUAUUUUAUCUUAAUACAAGUAAAUGUAUAUGACUUGCUUCCCGGUGUUACAACCAGAACCAGAAGUGCUUUAUCAAUCUUAGGGGGGGAAUUCAAGAAGUGUGCUGAGCUACUUUAAAUUCAAGGUUGGUUUUUGUCAGAGUUACAACAGCGAGCCCCCAAACUCGCUUUUUUUUUUCAGUGGCUUUCCUGUUUCCUGCCCAUUUGGCCCUCAGGCAUCAGAAAGUAGUUGUCCUGCUGACAGAACUUUUGUUCUCUGAAGAGAGAAAUCAAUGCUGAAACUCAAGGGGGCUGGCUGGCUUUAAACACACUUUACUUUACUAGAAUGACAUGAGAUGUUGCUUUUUCACCUAAAGAGGAAAUGGCAAGUACAAGUAUGCGCAGCAUUUAACAUGGAACAAAAACAGUGUGUACUUCCCUUUAAUUUGAUUUUUUUUUUUUUUUAAGCGUUUCAAAAUAGAAACGUUUGCUUCACUAUUGGCACAGAGCAUGAACUUAAUGAUUAGUCAACGUGCCUUCACUUCUUGUUUUUGACAUAACAGUCCUGUAGUGUGGUCUGAAACGGUGCUACCAUCUGUAAGCUCCGGAAGGAACACUUUCCCUGUAACACAUGAACACUCUAAGCACAUACGUGUCUGUUUGGCACGGCUCAGACAAUCAUGCUGAACUCCAUGCAAAGACUUCUAGACAUAAGACACUAUCUUCUGCUCUACAUUAGUGUAUUUAAAUGAUGGUUUGAAUAUGUUUUAAACUAAGCAAGAGGUUAUAGGAAUCCUUAUGAAAAGUUUUAGAUUUGAAAGUUAACGUUGUAUUUAUCUGCUUUAUAGAUUUUGUAAGCGCUUUAGUUUUGAAAAUUUCCUCCCCCCUCUCUCUCAUUUUUUAAAAUAAAGAGUGAAUGCUAUCUAUACCAACCAUCAACGAAGUUACCACACUGUUACUAAGAAAAUCAAAGUCUGUAAUUAACUACUUCCUAAUGUUUUAAAUGUCAACUUAAUAUUCAAAGUAAGUAACAGUGUCAUGGCUGAGGAGUGAGUCUGUUAAGUCGUGUCUUUCAGCCUGUUACUAUGACAGCCACUUGACCCUCUGACUAAAAGUCCCCACUAAACUUCUUAGACCGUAACACCGGUGGUCUUACCUGCAUCAUCAUGAGCCUCAGUCAGGUAACAGGAUGAGUAAUCUUGCUGGUGUACCAACAAUUUAAACUAAUUGCAAAUUAACUUGCUUUGGUUAAAAAUAAAGGAUUGAAAAGAAUACAGCAAGAGGAUUAGGGCUGCGUUCACAUGCCCCUCAGGUGGCUCUAGUUUCAAAGUUCAAGGGUGGUUUCUGACUUUGGUGUGUUUAUGUGCUUUCAACUAGGAAAGUGUAGUUUAAUGUGUCCUGUCUUAUGCAUCAAGGUUUAACUCUAAUAAAUACAAAAAUAUUGUUUUAGCUAAUGAAGCUGACCUCAGUGGAGCUCCCUACAUUUCAAUCCCUCAAUCUUGAACUUUUCCUGAACUAAGCUACACCUCUCUAAAACCAUGCAGGUUUUUAGCCAGUCCCAAUUUGUUCAUAAAACUACCUAUAAGUCUGAAAGAGCUGGAUUUAUCAGCACUGUUAACUACAUCCUUAUUGCUAGAAGCUCUGAGUGCUGUAAAGCCGACUUUGGCAGACGUAGUGCACAGUGCUUGGUAACUCUCAGCUGCUGUCUGUAUCUCUUAGAUUGCACGUUGCCAUACACUGUCUUCAGAUUGAACUGCACUCAUUCAUAAGAUGAAAAAUGAGCCUGAUACCAACAUGGACAUUAGCAGAGGUGGGCACAGUUAGUCCAAAGUUUACAAUGAACAAUUGAUCCAGUAUUGAAGAUAUUAACCAUGAUAACAUUAACAUUAAAACCUACUGAAUCAUUGACCACUCCCUUAUCUACAAGGUGCAUAUGCAGUUUGUAAGAUACAUGGUGGCAAAUGGUGGUCCCUCAAUCUUACACCAAACAUAAGAACACAAGCAAGCUGUUGUGUUGCUAUUCAAAUUUCUCCCCUCGACACAGCAGGUGUAUCAUAAUCCAGUCAGAGCAAAUAUGAUCUGAAGAUCAAAUCAUUUUCUCAGACCUUAAACAAAACAAAGGACCGCAGUGCCUCAGCUUCUUUUCAAAGUUGUCAUUGUCUGGUGAUACCCAGGAGAGGGGUUUGUUUCAAUUAACAGACAGAAGCGAGGAUAGGCUUUCUGUGCCCUCGCCCUUAUAAUUGGCUUGGCCCUCUGUGCCUGUUGAUCUUUCUCUGAAGCCUUCUUGCAUCAGGACCGGGCCGUCUGGCUGGAAAAUUAAUUUAAAAGUUAACGUUGACCAUGAUAGAAUACCAAAUCUACUGAGGUGUGCCCAGUUCUACAAAAUAAUUAUCUUGGCCUGUGCAAAGGUUUCCCCUCAUCCAUCAUUCCUCUGUUUUUAAAUGUAAUUGUUAACUAUGCAUUGGCUGAAAUGCUAACGUUAGCUGAGUUCUGAUGUUAGCCAAUAAUCAUACAUGAUUUUUAAGGAAUAGGAUCUCCCCUCUGCUUAUUAAUCAAGAAACUAUAAAAUUACCACCCUUUGUUGGAUUGUUAAAUUACUUACAACCUAAAAUAUAUAGACCCUUUCCAAAAAAUUUGAAUAUCAUGGAAAAUUUUAUUUAUUUCCAUAAUUCUAUUCUAAAAGUUAAACUUUCAUAGAGUAUAGAUUCAGAGCCCACAAUUUAAACAAUUUCAAGUAUUUAUUUGUUUAUUUUUACAUAAUUUGGGCUUCCAACUCAUAAAACCUACAGAAACAGGAAUUCAUAAAAUUAGAAUACUGUGAAGAAACCAGCCCAAAUUUUGCAGGGCAUGAAUGUUUUAAACUGAGUGUCACACACUAAUCAGCUACUAAACCCAAAACACCUGCACAGGUUUCCCCAGGUGUCAUUAAUUUGCUUCAGUUCGGUUCAAUAUGGGGAAGACUGCAGACUUGACAACUGGCCUGACGACCUUCAUCAAUACCCUCCACUGAUACACCUGGGGAAACUGAGGCCCGAACUACACGUAUAUAGAUAUUUAUUUAUCAGGAUAUUUUUGUACCCCGGUCUAAAUAAAUGUAUCUGUCCACACGUGUUAGUUCUCAAAAAUAUCUGCGUCCACACGUAGCCUUCAAACUGAAUCCUAUCUGGUGCCGCAGCAGACGCGUCUGUGAGCUGGCUGACUGUUGGAUGUAAUUGUAUAAAACAAGGUUCACUUGCAAGGCUGAAAUUAGCCCCAAAAGGGCAAAACAAACGUAAAGAAUACCCUGUCUGUCCGCCAUCGUUGUUGUUGUUGUUUUUGUUUCGCAAGCGCAAGUUGCGGUUUGACGUCAUCGAUUAUAAAAGUCCAACCCAUAGACUGUAUAUACUAUUAUAUAUAUCUUAUAUCUUAUAUACAGUCUAUGGUCCAACCACAUGAAUCCACUACGGAUACGGGAUAUGGAUAUUUUUUUAUUUCUCCACUUGUUUUUUUCGGAUUCAGAUUUAUCCGGCUUGAGUGUUCCAAACUGCCGUUUUGGUGUGGUAGGGAGGCCUAAUUGGACAUAAAUAUGUGCGGUUUGGCUUCAAACUCAACACACCUAGACAGGUUUCCUCAGGUAUAUCAAUCGAUUGCAUCAAUGGGUGUGUCCCAAAUGUUUAGUUCUCAAAAAUAUCUGCGUCCACACGUAGCCUUCAAACUGAAUCCUAUCUGGUGCCGCAGCAGACGCGUCUGUGAGCUGGCUGACUGUUGGGUGUAAUUGUUUAAAACAAGGUUCACUUGCAAGGCUGAAAUUAGCCCCAAAAGGGCAAAACAAACGUAAAGAAUACCCUGUCUGUCCGCCAUCGUUGUUGUUGUUGUUUUUGUUUCGCAAGCGCAAGUUGCGGUUUGACGUCAUCGAUUGUAAAAGUCCAACCCAUAGACUGUAUAUACUAUUAUAUAUAUCUUAUAUCUUAUAUACAGUCUGUGGUCCAACCACAUGAAUCCACUACGGAUACGGGAUAUGGAUAUUUUUCUAUUUCUCCACUUGUUUUUUCGGAUUCAGAUUUAUCCGGUUUGAGUGUUCCAAACUGCCGUUUUGGUGUGGUAGGGAGGCCUAAUUGGACAUAAAUAUGUGCAGUUUGGCCUCAAACUCAACACACCUAGACAGGUUUCCCCAGGUGUAUCAAUCGAUUGCAUCAAUGGGUGUGUCCCAAAUGUAUAACUCAAUCCUUAACCCCUUAACCCCCAUAUGGGAUUUCACUAUACAGCUUUUGUCAUGUAGUGGGCUCAAUCACCACUACCACUUUCAGACACUACAUCGAAACCGUUGUGAAGACUACUGCUGGAGACGCAAUGCAUGACGGGAUGCCCACCACCAGUGAGUGACCAUCGGAUGGUCACUACAUUUUGCAAUACUCCAUAGAAAAUUCUGAGUUGCCUAUAUGGGGCAUUGGAAUUGACCCCUCAGGUUUCGGACACCUCUCAAAAUGGCGCUAACACCCAUAUAGUCGCCUAUAUAGGCGUUGGGGAUCCAUGUCGGGCACAGCCAAUAAUGGUCUACUGGCCAGUUGUCAAGUCUGCAGCCUCCCUUAUAUAGAACUGAACUAAGGCUGUGUCUGAAAUGAAUCACUCAAUCCCUAACCCCUAACCCCUAUAUGGGGUUUUACUAUAUAGUUGACUAUUUAGUGAACUCAAUCAUGGGAGGUUUUGGACACUACAUGGCAUGAUGCAAUGCACGACAGGAUGCCCACCACCAGUGAGUGACCUUUGGAUGGUCACUUCAUUUUAGAAUACUCUAUAGGAGAUUUUGAGUCCUAUAUAGGGCAUUGGAAUCGAUCACUCAGGUUUCGGACACCCCUCAAAAUGGUGCUAACACCCAUAUAGUCGCCUAUAUAGGGGUUGGGGAUCCAUUUUGGACACAGCCAAUGACAAUUGAACUGAACUGAAGCAAUUAAAUGACACCUGGGGAAACCUGUGCAGGUGUUUUGAGUUUAGUAGAUGAUUAUUCAUGCCAAAUUUGGGC